UGGGGAAUUUUGCACAAUGGGGGAAACCCUGAUGCAGCGACGCCGCGUGAUUUAGAAGGCCUUCGGGUUGUAAAAAUCUUUUUUACGGGAUGAAAAUGACAGUACCGUAAGAAUAAGGUCCGGCUAAAUACGUGCCAGCAGCCGCGGUAAUAGGUAUGGACCGAGCGUUGUCCGGAAUCAUUGGGCGUAAAGGGUACGUAGGCGGCCUAGUAAGUUAGAAGUGAAAUAAUAUAGCUCAACUAUAUAAAGCUUUUAAAACUGCUAGGCUUGAGAGAUGGAAGGGAAAGUGGAAUUCCUAGUGUAGCGGUGAAAUGCGCAGAUAUUAGGAAGAAUACCGGUGGCGAAGGCGACUUUCUGGUCAUCAUCUGACGCUGAGGUACGAAAGCGUGGGUAGCAAACAGG
rnacentral:rRNA from 1 species